AUUGAACGCUAGCGGGAUGCUUUACACAUGCAAGUCGAACGGCAGCGCGGACUUCGGUCUGGCGGCGAGUGGCGAACGGGUGUGUAAUGUAUCGGAACGUGCUCAGUAGCGGGGGAUAACUACGCGAAAGCGUAGCUAAUACCGCAUACGCCCUACGGGGGAUAGCAGGGGAUCGUAAGACCUUGCACUCUUGGAGGGGCCGAUAUCGGAUUAUCUAGUUGGUGAGGUGACGGCUCACUAAGGCGGCGAUCCGUAGCAGGUUUGAUAGGACGAUCAGCCACACUGGGACUGAGACACGGCCCAGACUCCUACGGGAGGCAGCAGUGGGGAAGUUUGGACAAUGGGGGGAACCCUUUGCCAGCCAUCCCGGGUGUGCGAUGAAGGCCUUCGGGUUGUAAAGCACUUUUUGCAGGAAAGAAACGUCGCGGGCUAAUACCCCGUGGAACUGACGGUACCUGCAGAAUAAGCACCGGCUAACUACGUG
rnacentral:rRNA from 1 species